AGUAGGGCCCAGAUAUGUCACCAGCCCUGUUUUCCCAGGCCUGGCCCUCAAGAUACUGUGUCCCUCACCCAUCCCUUCCAGGGACCCAUACGGGGACCUGGGCCUGGCCUGGCCAGGAGUCUGUAGAGCCAGCAAGGGUGGAGCCCAGGAGCUUCUGAGCCGAUACCAGGAAGAUGCGCAGGCCUGCCCUGCAGCCACAUGUGGAUGGCCUCUGAGGGCCUCACACCCCUGUCCUGGGAGAGGAGGUCUCCGCCCAGGCUGCUCUGCAGUUCGCGGGCAGCACCCCCUCCCGGCCACGAGAGGAAGUUCCCACGUCAACCCUGAGAGGUGCUGGGGGCAGAGCCAGAGGUGGUGCCCAGCGCCCAGCCCCCAGCCCCCAGCCCAGCUUCAGGUGGGGUCCCCUGGGCUGGGUGACGGUGCCCUUCCUUCAGAAGGAGAAGCAGGCUGCAGCCAGCCACCACGCCAUCCUCACCCGCCUCAGUAUCGACCUCUGAGAAUUUCACCUGAGACCGGUGGCCUCUCAAGAGGCCUCUUAUCUGAAGAAAUAGCCCCCUCAGGUCAUCGGGAGGCCCUGUGGGUGGCCCCAAAGGUGUUAUUUUGAUUUGAACAUGUCACAAACUGUACAGCGGCCUGGGAGACACACCCAACUGUCUUCUAAACUGGAUGUACCAAUAGUAUGUUCCCACCAGCUAUGAAUGAGUUCAGCUUCAUUUUUUAUAUCUAAAAAAUUGUACCUUUCCUUCAGGUGGUUAGAAUAAAGUGAGUUAAUUUAUAAACGGCUUAGAACAAUAUCCGGUAUAGAAGAAGCACGUUUCCCUGGUGGCUCAGUGGUAAAGAAUUCGCCUGCAAUGCAGGAGAUGCUGGUUCGAUCCUUGGGUUGGGAAGAUCCCUUGGAGGAGGAAAUGACAACUCACUCCAGUAUUCUUGCCUGGGAAAUCCCAUGAACAGAGGAGCCUUACAGGCUACAGUCCACGGGGUCGCAGAAGAGUCAGAUACAAAUGAUUGACUGGACAACAAACCCAGAAUAAGCACUGUGCCUGGGCUCUCAUCACCACCGUCACCCCGACUACCACCAUCACCAACAUCCGCAUCGCCACCCUGUGACCCAGCCAGCAGAAUUUUGAAAGGAAGAGAACGCCCAGCUCCCGAGGCCCCAGUGUGAGCACCAGAAUGACCACCUUACUUCUCUUUCUAUAGAUCGAUUCUGGAACAGCCCAGCCCUCCUCAGCCAUGCCUCUAUUUUAGCAGUGGUUCCCAACGUGUAUUCCAUGGAAUGUUAUUUCCCAAGGCUGUGAAUAGACUUCAUUUGUAAAAGGAGCUUAUGAUCACAGACUUUGGGGAAAGUGAAAUCUUUAAAAAAUUUUUUUUGUUGACCUAGAACCUAUUAUACAGAGUGAAGUGACUCAGAAAGAAAAAGACAAAUAUCAUAUUCUAAUGCAUAUAUACAGAAUCUAGAAAAAUGGUGCUGAAGAAUUUAUUUACAGGGCAGCAGUGGAGAAACAGACAUGGAGAAUAGACUAAUGGACAUGGGGAGAGGGGAGGAGAGGGUGAGAUGUAUGUUGUGAGUAACGUGGAAAUUUACAUUACCGUAUGUAAAAUAGACAGCCAAUGGGAAUUUGCUGCAUGGCUCAGGAAACUCAAACAGGGGCUCUGUAUCAACCUAGAGUGGGGGGAUGGGGCGGGAGAUGGAAGGGAGGUUCAGAAGGGAGGGGAUAUACCUAUGGCUGAUUCAUAUUGAGGUUUGACAGAAAACAACAAAAUUCUGUAAAGCAAUUAUCCUUCAAUAAAAAAUAAAUUAAAAAAUAUAAAGAAAAAAAUUAGUUUUUCAGAAUAAAAGUUGUAAUAAUAAAAAAAUUUUUUUGUUGCAGAACUUUUCAAUGACUUUUACUUGCUAAAAUGCAUCAGGAAUCUGAAAGAGAAAAUAUAGUGGGUUGCGUUUCCCAAAUUUCUUGACAAUAGAACUGUCACUUGUGAGGGAUUUCUUAAGGGAUGUGUGGAUGCUGUUCCACUGUCUCUAGAGCCAGGCUGAAUCUUCACAGUUCCCUUGGAGUCUCUCUCUCUCUCUUUCUCUCUCGUAGGACCCACCCGAGCGGACAGCCUCCCCCUUCUCAGGUGGAUUUUUCUCCAGUACAAUUUCAUUUCCUUUCUGCACCUGUCCCUCCCAGGUACCCCGUCUGACACGAGGGGGCGGUAGUGAGCUGAGAUCCGGCUUCUCAAGCCGGCCCGGUGUUGUCUAGAAGCGAGGAAAUGGCUCAACACUGACAUUUUCUCCUUUUGCUAAAUACAGCUGGUAGAUGAAAACACAGCGAACUGAGGCGCCUGAAACAACGCUCAUUUCCCUGCACUCGUGUCUACGUUGUGACGGCUCUGGGCCCUGCCUUCCCAUCGCCCUCACCCUCUUUGUCAUUCACCAGCUGCUCAGGUUUCCUGCGUAGAGUCCCUCUUCAUGGGGGUCUCCCUUGCUGUCCACGUCCAGGAGAUCUCUCCCCUACAGAAUCCGAUGGCAGAGCCACCAGGUCAUCUGACUAAUAAAGAGGCUUGUUUUUCCUUUUAAAGUGGGAAGCUUGAAGAAUUGGCACGUGUCCUAUCUGGGGCUGCUCAUGACGCCCCCACCUUGGACAAAUGUUCAGCUAAUGGGGAAAAUCGCUCUGCAGAACCAGACUUCUUAGCAAAGUAAAAGUAGCUUUAUGAUGAUUAUCAAAAUAAUGCCUUCUUGUUAGAAAAUAAAAGUCAGUCAAAGGAGCUCAAAGAAGAAACUUAAAAAAAAAUCACCAGAACCAAACUUGUAAUCAGUCUCCUAGUGUUGGAUAGUUGAAAAGUUGCUGUCAUUUAAAAUGAUAUCUUUCUAAAUUCCAUAUAUAUGCGUUAGUAUACUGUAUUUAUGUUUUUCCUUCUGGCUUACUUCACUCUGUAUAAUAGGCUCCAGUUUCAUCCACCUCAUUAGAACUGAUUCAAAUGUAUCAGUUUAGAAAGAUGGUAAUGAUAACCCUGUAUAGGAGACAGCAAAAGAGACACUGAUGUAUGGAGCAGUCUUAUGGACUCUGUGGGAGAGGGAGAGGUGGGAAGAUUUGGGAGAAUGGCAUUGAAACACGUGAAAUGUCAUGUAUGAAACAAGAUGCCAGUCCAGGUUCAGUGCACGAUGCUGGAUGCUUGGGGCUGGUGCGCUGGGACGGCCCAGGGGGAUGGUAUGGGGAGAGGGAGGGAGGAGGGUUCAGGAUGGGGAGCACGUAUACCUGAAAUUUUUAAUUAAAAAAAAAAAAACUGGAAAAUAAACAAUUUUAAAAUUAAAAAAAAAUAA
ensembl:lncRNA